AAUCUAUACGGUCCUGCGCAGGAGGCUCUGAGAAUGAUGACUGUACAGGGAACAGUGACUAGCAAUUCUAAAAUGAAUGAAGAGGGUGAAGUUCCUCUGAUUUCAUUUUUGUAAUAACUAUAACUGGAUGGCAUGGUUCCUAUUUGUAACACAUUUAUGGACCAUGCAGGACGCCCUUACGUGAAUGAAAUUAUGGCAAGGCAACAGACUAAGAAUUGGACUAACACAGGAGCUUCAGUGAGACUUACUGACCUAUCACUAAGUCUCCCUUCUGGGGCAAAACAAUAACAUAUGAAUUUAUUAAUGGAAUUUUUUUUUACUUAAUUGCAUAAUGCUGGAGUCAAGCUAAACACUUCAAAGGUUGCUCACACAAAAGGUAAAAUUUUUGGGAGUAGCUAUCACAGCUGCCCAAUUGAAGAGUGAUAGCAAUCUUACAAGUCCCCAGACCUUUUAACAAACAAUCCUUAAAGAAGUUUUUUGGGACUUGUAAAUUUCUCAAAGGAAUUUGACACAUGCCCUAUUUGUAUCCAUAGUGACAUUGCUUAUGCCACCAGAUCAAACUAUCUGUCCAAAUGGAAUCUUGGGAAACUAAAGCACCCCCUCCAGUCAGCAGUAAACACUCAUUCAAAGGUACAAUUGAAUUUGUUAGCAAAGGAGGCUGUCUUAGAUGGAGAUCAAUGGCAUUUACAUGUAAAAGACCCUGAGAUACAGCAAGCAUGGGAGGAGCACUUCACAUGCAAAGAACUAAUUACUGAUAGCCAAGAUUGUUGAUAAAGGUUCAGAAGUGCCAGAUUUAAAAGCAGAACUGAAUAGGAAUUCUAAUCUUUCUCUUUUAUUACAGAACCAUCAAACACUUCAAAGUAGUUAUUCUAUAAAAGAAGGGUUGUUAUGUUAAAGUAUAUCCAUGCCCUAAGCAACAAAGGCCUAUGCAUCAGAGAGUGCCAGUUGCAGACAGCCCCUGGAAGUCAAUACAGAAUGAUUUCAUAGGUGCACUUACACUGUCCAAG